GGGGAAUUUUCCGCAAUGGGCGAAAGCCUGACGGAGCAAUACCGCGUGAGGGAGGAAGGCUCUUGGGUUGUAAACCUCUUUUCUCAGGGAAUAAGAACUGAAGGUACCUGAGGAAUCAGCAUCGGCUAACUCCGUGCCAGCAGCCGCGGUAAGANCGGAGGAUGCAAGUGUUAUCCGGAAUCACUGGGCGUAAAGCGUCUGUAGGUGGUUUAAUAAGUCAACUGUUAAAUCUUGAGGCUUAACUUCAAAACUGCAGUCGAAACUAUUAGACUAGAAUAUAGUAGGGGUAAAGGGAAUUUCCAGUGGAGCGGUGAAAUGCGUAGAGAUUGGAAAGAACACCGAUGGCGAAGGCACUUUACUGGGCUAUUACUGACACUCAGAGACGAAAGCUAGGGUAGCAAAUGGGAUUAGAUACCCCAGUAGUC
rnacentral:rRNA from 1 species